rnacentral:rRNA from 1 species
GACGUAGGGGGCAAGCGUUGUUCGGAAUUAUUGGGCGUAAAGCGCUCGUAGGCGGGACAGGAAGUUCGUGUUGAAAGACCUCGGCUCAACUGAGGGACCGGCUCGAAUACUCUUGUUCUUGAGGCAAUCAGAGGGUGAUGGAAUUCCCGGUGUAGCGGCGAAAUGCGUAGAUAUCGGGAGGAACACCAGUGGCGAAGGCGAUCACCUGGGGUUGUUCUGACGCUGAGGAGCGAAAGCUAGGGGAGCAAACGGG